GACGAACGCUGGCGGCGUGCCUAACACAUGCAAGUCAACUUGACUGAAGGAGCAAUCUGACAGUAGAGUGGCGCAAGGGUGCGUAACGCGUAAGUAACUUGCCCAAGGUAAGGAAUAACGUCGAGAAAUCGGCGCUAAUACCUCAUAAUGCAGCGGAUCCGCAUGGAUAUGUUGUUAAAGGUUUACCGCCUUGGGAUAGGCUUGCGUCUGAUUAGCUAGUUGGUGUGGUAACGGCACACCAAGGCUACGAUCAGUAACUGGUCUGAGAGGAUGAUCAGUCACACUGGAACUGAGACACGGUCCAGACUCCUACGGGAGGCAGCAGUGAGGAAUAUUGGGCAAUGCUCGAAAGAGUGACCCAGCAACGCCGCGUGGAGGAUGAAGGUAUUCUAUAUCGUAAACUCCUGUGAGAGCAGACGAAAGACAGAUUAUUAAUACUGGAUGACUGUAUGCUCAGAGGAAGCCCCGGCUAACUACGU
rnacentral:rRNA from 1 species